rnacentral:rRNA from 1 species
CGCGUAGGCGGCCGGAAAAGUCCGGUGUGAAAGCCCGGGGCUCAACCCCGGAAGGGCACUGGAAACUGAUCGGCUUGAGUUCGGGAGAGGAGGGCAGAAUUCCCGGUGUAGGGGUGAAAUCCGUAGAUAUCGGGAGGAAAACCAGUGGCGAAGGCGGCCCUCUGGAACGAAACUGACGCUGAGGCGCGAAAGCGUGGGGAGCAAACA